rnacentral:misc_RNA from 1 species
CGGAAUUGAAGCCAAACGUGCCACAAGUGAACGAAAUCGAGGCACGUGCGGAGGACGGUGACGACGGCGGCCAAUCCACCGUCCAUGUAGAGGCAGGGGGAGCCUCCUCUUCCGAUAGACAGAGCGUAGAAGUAAAGAGGAUCAACAGCGAGAGCCAUUCCACGGGCCAAUAACAGAACCCGGUUCCAUCUUUGAACCGGCUUGGUUCUCGGGUCGAGAACGGUGCCGAAGCAACCGGAAGGAUGUGGCAGUGCGGGGCGGCG